rnacentral:rRNA from 1 species
CCUACGGGUGGCAGCAGUGAGGAAUAUUGGUCAAUGGACGAGAGUCUGAACCAGCCAAGUAGCGUGAAGGAUGACUGCCCUAUGGGUUGUAAACUUCUUUUAUAUGGGAAUAAAAUGUUACACGUGUGGGAUUUUGUAUGUACCAUAUGAAUAAGAAUCGGCUAACUCCGUGCCAGCAGCCGCGGUAAUACGGAGGAUCCGAGCGUUAUCCGGAUUUAUUGGGUUUAAAGGGAGCGUAGGUGGAUUGUUAAGUCAGUUGUGAAAGUUUGCGGCUCAACCGUAAAAUUGCAGUUGAAACUGGCAGUCUUGAGUACAGUAGAGGGGGGCAGAAUUCGUGGUGUAGCGGUGAAAUGCUUAGAUAUCACGAAGAACUCCGAUUGCGAAGGCAGUUCACUGGACUGCAACUGACACUGAGGCUCGAAAGUGUGGGUAUCAAACAGGAUUAGAUACCCGUGUAGUC